GUCAGUGGCUGCUUUGUGAAGAAGAAAGAGUCAGUGCUGUGAGGAACUGCCCAUGAGAAACACCAAGAUAUACCUUGAGAAAAAAGAAAAAUAUCAUUAACGUGUAUUGGAAAGAAAAACACCCCUGCUGCACACCAACAGAAGGUGAUGUGUCUUAGGGGAAUAAACCUCAGCCCAGCCCUGUGUGCUUCUACCCUGAGAUGCUCAUACUGCAGGGGACCCUUUUCCAGCUUCUGAAUUCAAUUUACAGAAGGAAAAGUGCCAAAUAAGAGCAAAUGUUUUAAUUAUAAAGAAACACUUUUCUUAGGUAAUACAAUUGCUAUGUUUGUGAAAGGAAUUUAAUGUGCUACACAGUCUACCAGAGUUUUUAAUGAAUGCUAAGUCAGAAAAAACUGCAUGAGGCAGCUGUGGUAGUAUUUGCAUAUUUGCUCAGGAUAAUUGAUAGAAUUGUUAAAUUAAAUAUUGCAAAAGGCAGCCUAAUACACUGUGUGCAAGAAAAGUAAAACCAUGAGAUUCAGUAAUUUGUCUGAUUGAACAUUUUGUAUGUUUAAGCAGUAUGUCUCCAUAGACAAUGCAUUUCUGGGUCAUUUUAACUCAGCUUGGGUGGAAAUGGGAAACUUCAUCAUGCAGAACUCUGGAAGAGUUUUACCACAGCUGCACUCUAACCAAAACUUUCACUCCAUGUGACCCUAAUCUUAACUGUAAGUACAAACUCAGAUUUGGCUUCUCCUUCUCUGUAUUAAUAUCCCAAAUGUGUUAUUCAGCAUAAAAUCUGUUCUACAGAUCUUGAUUAUACAGUCAUGUGUUGGUGUGAAUUGUGUGUGAUAUGUAUAUGAACAUGCUAGCAAUCAAAAAGAGAAAACAAUACAAAACCUAGAAAAUAACAUUUCUGAACCAUUAUGAUUGUGUAUUUUGUAUCUAACCAGUUUUCCAAAGAGGAAAAAGAACAACACAUCAUUUGGAACAUCCUUGGCAGUUGCCUAGUUUCCCUGAAAUAUCUCUAAAAGGAGAAGUCAUUGAUUCAUGGACCUUUAGGGGAGCUGGUGUGUGAGAAGAACAGAGGUGGACUUACUGAAGUCAUCAGACAAAAUUGACUGGCCCAAGUUCCUGUGCUGCAUCUCAGAUCAGUUGUGUGAGCUGUGUCCUGUUCAGCAUUGCUGAAGGCUGGGGAACUGAUGAUGUGCAAAUGAUGAGAUAUCUGUAGGAUACAAGAGGAAGGGAUUUGAAACACUGAUUCCAAUCAGUUAUUUAUAGUUCUCAGUUUUUAUGGGGACAAAAGAACUUUAAUUGAAAUGGAAACACAGAGUGGUUGAA